UGAUUAUUUUUGAUUUAUUUAUGUACUUUGUCUCAUUAUUUUCUAAAGUUUAUUUGUUAGCCUUAUAAAUAUUAUUUGUUUGUGAUUGUUGACAGGGGUGGAACUCUUGUACAAGCCCACUGGGCUUUGUUCCCUCCUUGCACCAUUAUUGUAAUGUGUGCUAAAUAAAUAAACUAAACUAAACUAAGUUGCACUCACGUUGGAUAAUACAGGGAGGCUGGUGAGCUAGCAGAGCAGCAAGAGGCGUCCGACGACGACACACAUGGAGCGGAUGCGAAGUGGAAAGGGACAUCGCACAUCGUUUUCCCGGAAUCUUAACAUUGGAAACAACCGUUCUCCUAGAAAAUCCAACUGAAAAGGGAUGCCAAUCAAGCCUGUGGCUGUGGUGCAUUCCCAGAGGAGAGUGCCAGUGCCACUUCGUGGCAGCCUGAAUAAGGAGUUGGCCAGGAGGACAAAGUUUGGGGUCAUUGAACAUGUGGAACAACUGACUCCAUCACCUGUGGAAGGGAAACUAAUGAUCGCGAAAGUCCGCGGCCGACUUUCGCGGGCCGCCCGACCCCGGUUCUCGGCCGGGCUGCAGACCGGGCUGCAGACCAGGCGUCGACCGGGCUGCGGACUGCAUACGACCGGGCUGGAUAUCAUGUCGUAUGAUAUCCAGAUCUUCCAUGUUCUAGUGACUCCAGGACUUCGUUGAGUCCACUGCCACCAGCCCCCCCCACCUCUCCCUCAUGCUCCUCCACCCCAGGCACCUCUUUCACCACCCCAGACACCCCUUCCAAGAGGAGAGUUCCAGGGAGCAGGCGAGGCAUGAGGAGAGCGAGGCAAAGUUGGCGGAAUGGUGGAGAAGAUGUGAUCCUCCACCAUUCUCUCAAAAGCUGAGAGAGAGUGUGUGUGUGUGUGUGUAUUUUUAGGUGUGCGUGUGUGUGUAUUUUUAGAUGCGUGUGUGUGUAUUUUUAGAUGUGUGGUUCAGUGUUUCUUAUUUAAAUAAAGUUUUUCUUCUAAAGUGUUCUUGUUCAUAACCGAUUAUUAUCUAAGGGUGCACUCACACUAGGCCAACUGGCAGUGGCCGUGGCCGUUUUAGCACCUAACCGUGCUCAAAUCUGUCAGUGUGAGUGUGGCCAGUCUGGCCAGGCCGGGCCAAUUUGGCCACUUGGGAGAGGUGUGCUGCUACGGCACGGGCCGCUACGGUACAGAUGCUAAUGAGCCGACACGCGCUACGCAACCUGAGCUGGAUGACGUAUAGUCAAUGCGAAGACCAC
rnacentral:lncRNA from 1 species